rnacentral:rRNA from 1 species
AGCGAACGCUGGCGGCAGGCCUAACACAUGCAAGUCGAACGGAUCCUUCGGGAUUAGAGGCGGACGGGUGAGUAACACGUGGGAACGUGCCUUUUGGUUCGGAACAACUCAGGGAAACUUGAGCUAAUACCGAAUGUGCCCUUCGGGGGAAAGAUUUAUCGCCAUUAGAGCGGCCCGCGUCUGACCAGCUUGUUGGUGAGGUAAUGGCUAACCAAGGCGACGAUCAGUAGCUGGUCUGAGAGGAUGAUCAGCCACAUUGGGACUGAGACACGGCCCAAACUCCUACGGGAGGCAGCAGUGGGGAAUCUUGCGCAAUGGGCGAAAGCCUGACGCAGCCAUGCCGCGUGAAUGAUGAAGGUCUUAGGAUUGUAAAAUUCUUUCACCGGGGACGAUAAUGACGGUACCCGGAGAAGAAGCCCCGGCUAACUUCGUGCCAGCCGCCGCCGUAACAC